UGGGGUGUGGCUCAGCGGCAGAGUGCUUGCCUAGCGCAUGUGAGGCCCUGGGUUCGAUCCUCAGUACCACAU
rfam:Ictidomys tridecemlineatus contig037486, whole genome shotgun sequence.